ACAGAGAGGGAGGAGGUCAGCUCUGUGCCAAGAGGACUCUGACGGGAGGCAGCAGAGCAAACCCACUGGGGCCACCACCCACCCGGCUUCCUGGACCACUCCCAUGAGUGCCGCCCCUCCCUGGGGUCGUGGGAUUUCCUUCUUUUCUAGUCUGAGGGAGGUGAAGAGGGAAGUGGUCAGGCGGAGAGAGGGAGCAGCCUUGGAGUCAGACUGGGGCUGAAAUUCCUGCUCUGCCUCCAGACACUAAGAGCUGUGGGUUGCCACUUUGGGUCAGAUUCACAGCUCUCACAGUGGAGACAAGGCAGUACUGGAGCAGGAAGGAAGUGAGGAGACAACAGGGCACCAGAGGAGGCAGAGAGCCCAUGCAGGUGCAAGGUGCUAUUCCACACAGACAGGCUUGGUCUUCAGUGCAUACCUGUGUCUCCUGGUGACCUGACUCCCACCCUGGAACAGUGUGGAAGGUUUACUGGGGCUGGGAUAUAAGUGGAUCAUGAGAAGUAAGAGGGUAUUAACACCCACCCCCAACUUCCCCAGGCCUGGCCUCCUCCUUCCUGUGUUGCAAAAUAUCUUCCUCCCUUCUUUCAUCAAAACCCCAUUCCUUCAGUACAGUGAUUCUCAACUAGAAGGGAUUUUGCACCCAUGGGACAUUUGUCAAUAUCUGGAGACAUUCGUAGUGAUUCUAACCGGGGACUGGAGUGCAACCAGCGUCUCCUGUGAGUAGAGGCCGGAGGUGUUGCUGAACCCAACAAGGCACAGGACAGCUUGCCGCAUCAGAGAAUUAUCCAGCCCAAAAUGUCACCAGGACUGAAACUGAAAACCUUGCUGGCAUGUACUGACAUCACAGCUGUAUGAUUGAAAAGCAUCUGUUUGAACUGAUUCACAAUAUGGUUUGAAUGGCUGAUAAUCUACAUAUAACCUUCCAGGGUCAAUUGGUUUUUAAAAGAGGUUUUCACUUUUUGGCAAGCACUCAUAUGGGUUAAAUACAAAUGCAAAAGGAAGAGAAGACUUUUGAGAAGCUACGGGGAGCAAUGUUUUAUAUGUAUGUGUUGGGGAGGCCCUCCUGGCUAUUCCUUCAUUCUUAUCAUGAAGGCAUCUACCUACUUGUUCCAGGGGUAGAAAGACCAGUCUUGUGCACUCAUCCUGGCAAGAGUUGAAAUACGGACCACGUCACAAAAAUACAAAGACAAGUGUUAACAAUUCCACUUAGGUACCUAGAGUAGUCAAAUUUGUACAUAUAGAAAGUAGAACAGUGGU